CGCGGGGUGGAGCAGUUGGUAGCUCGCCAGGCUCAUAACCUGCAGGUCAUCGGUUCGCGUCCGGUCCCCGCAA
rnacentral:tRNA from 1 species